UUGGCCAAAAAGUUCAUUCAGCUUUUUCCAUACCAUCUUGUGGAAAGACCGGAAUGAACUUUUUGGCCAAUCCAA
rnacentral:miRNA from 1 species